UACGAAGGGGGCUAGCGUUGUUCGGAAUUACUGGGCGUAAAGGGCGCGUAGGCGGCUCUGAUCGUCGGAUGUGAAAGGCCUGGGCUCAACCUGGGAAUGGGCAUCCGAUACGGCGGGGCUGGAGUGUGGGAGAGGUUGGUGGAAUUCCCAGUGUAGAGGUGAAAUUCGUAGAUAUUGGGAAGAACACCGGUGGCGAAGGCGGCCAACUGGACCACAACUGACGCUGAGGCGCGAAAGCGUGGGGAGCAAACAGG
rnacentral:rRNA from 1 species